AUGCUUACCAGGCAGGGGAGAUACCAUGAUCACAAAGGUGGUUUUCCCAGGGCGAGGCUUAUCCAUUCACACCAGAUGUGCUGACCCCUGCGAUUUCCCCAAAUGUGGGGAACUCGACUGCAUAAUUUAUGGCAGCAGGGGAUGCAUCUGCACUCUCCCC
rnacentral:snRNA from 1 species